GGCACCAUGGCUGAGUGGUCCAAGGCGCUGGAUUAAGGCUCCACUCUCUUCAGCGGCGUGGGUUCGAAUCCCACUGCUGCCA
rfam:Danio rerio chromosome 9, GRCz11 reference primary assembly.